rnacentral:rRNA from 1 species
ACGGAAGGCAGCAGUGAGGAAUAUUGGUCAAUGGGCGGAAGCCUGAACCAGCCAAGUCGCGUGAGGGAAGAAGGUCCUAUGGAUUGUAAACUUCUUUAGUCGUGGAGUAAUAAUGGCCUCGUGAGGCCAGAUGCAAGUACACGAAGAAUAAGGAUCGGCUAACUCCGUGCCAGCAGCCGCGGUAAUACGGAGGAUCCGAGCGUUAUCCGGAUUUAUUGGGUUUAAAGGGUGCGCAGGCGGUCUCUUAAGUCAGUGGUCAAAUCGUGAGGCUCAACCUCAUCCCGCCAUUGAUACUGGGAGACUUGAUUUCGGUCGAGGCAGGCGGAAUUUGCCGUGUAGCGGUGAAAUGCAUAGAUAUGGCGAAGAACUCCGAUUGCGUAGGCAGCUUACCAGGCCGACAAUGACGCUCAUGCACGAAAGUGCGGGGAUCGAACAGGAUUAGAUACCCUGGUA